AGUGAACGCUGGCGGUAGGCCUAACACAUGCAAGUCGAACGGCAGCACAGUAAGAGCUUGCUCUUACGGGUGGCGAGUGGCGACGGGUGAGGAAUACAUCGGAAUCUACUUUUUCGUGGGGGAUAACGUAGGGAAACUUACGCUAAUACCGCAUACGACCUACGGGUGAAAGCAGGGGAUCUUCGGACCUUGCGCGAUUGAAUGAGCCGAUGUCGGAUUAGCUAGUUGGCGGGGUAAAGGCCCACCAAGGCGACGAUCCGUAGCUGGUCUGAGAGGAUGAUCAGCCACACUGGAACUGAGACACGGUCCAGACUCCUACGGGAGGCAGCAGUGGGGAAUAUUGGACAAUGGGCGCAAGCCUGAUCCGGCCAUACCGCGUGGGUGAAGAAGGCCUUCGGGUUGUAAAGCCCUUUUGUUGGGAAAGAAAAGCAGCAGGUUAAUACCCCGCUGUUCUGACGGUACCCAAAGAAUAAGCACCGGCUAACUUCGUG
rnacentral:rRNA from 1 species